rnacentral:misc_RNA from 1 species
GUUUUCUGCUCGUGACUUCAGUGAUCACCUUGCUCUUGUUCGGGCUUAUGAUGGCUGGAAAGAUGCUGAAAGGCAGCAAUCUGGUUAUGAUUACUGUUGGAGAAAUUUCCUUUCUGCACAAACUCUCAAAGCGAUGGACUCCCUUCGAAAGCAAUUUUUGUAUCUGCUUAAGGACAUUGGUUUAGUUGAUAGCAUUCAGAGUUGUAAUGCCUGGAGUAACAAUGAACAUCUGGUUCGAGCGAUUGUAUGUGGUGGACUAUUCCCUGGCAUAUGCUCUGUUGUGAACAAGGAAAAGUCAAUCUCAUUGAAAACCAUGGAGGAUGGUGGAGUCCUUUUAUACUCUAAUUCUGUCAACGCUCAAGAACCUCAAAUUCCAUACCCAUGGCUUGUCUUCAACGAAAAAGUUAAAGUGAAUGCAGUAUUCCUGCGUGAUUCUACAGCCGUAUCUGAUUCUGUGGUACUCUUAUUUGGUGGAAGCAUUUCCGGAAAAGCUUUAGAUGGACACUUGAUGAUGCUUGGAGGAUACUUGGAGUUUUUCAUGAACCCCUCACUGGCAAAUACUUACAUAAGCUUGAAGAGGGAGCUUAAUGAACUUGUCCAUAAGAAACUCUCGGACCGUAAUUUUGAUGUAGGAAGUCAUGGGGAGCUAUUAGAAGCUGUUAAAUUGCUGGUGUCAGAGGAUCAAUGUGAAGGUAAAUUUGUCUAUGGUCGUAAACCGUCCCCCAAGAAGUCUGCAAAGGAGUUACAGAAAAAUGUCAUUUCAA